GCACGCUGCUGUUCUGUCGUUUAGCCAAAGCUCUGACGCGCAUGGGCAACCCCCCACCCCUCACCAUCUGUCUUUCAGUUUUUAGGAAUGAGAGAUGAGGCACCAGAGGUCCCCAGGGAGCAAAUCUGAAAGACAGCGCCUCCUGAGCACAGUCUGCCAGGGGCGAGACGACAUUAGACAUUGUCCCCAGAUAUAAGAAGCAUCACUUUCUUCAGACAGAGCAGAUUGAUAGAUGAAACAUAAAACAAGACCAGAUGCUGUGGUUUCCAGGAUGCACUUGGCUUCCCAUCCUUUAUAACCUGGAGCAUUUUUUGCCGUAAGUAGCCCUGUAUGGACAAAGAUUCCUUCAUAUCUCCUUAGUGUUUGCAUGAGGACUUCACCUCUCAAGUUGUCAACUGUGGCAUCUUGUCUGGGAAUGUUUAUCUUCUCUGACUUGUAAAGAGGCUAUGCCUCUGUCUCUUUGACCUCUUAGUUCUCUCAUUCUCAGUUUUAAUACACCCUUCUGAGUGAGUCUUACUGAUUAGUAUUCUAUAAUCCAUUAAUGCUAGUUACAUAAAACCUGUAAGAUUCCAUCCUUGUUACCCCCCAGACAAAUAAGUUUAAAAUAUUGGUCAGUCCAUGAAAAUGACUAUCUGGAUAUUUCUCAGUUCACUGAAGAACAUCAUUAAUAUUGGCUGUCGUUCCCAUCUGUCUAAUUACAGCCAUUUAUUGAGCUUACAUUUCUUGCUCUCAUGGAGUUCUGAAGACUCAAAUGUCUUGUGAAAAUGCAAGUCUUCAUAGAACUAUUGAUUUUUUUUAAGAUAGAGGUUUAACCUAUCUUUCAUCUCCAUUCAUUAUUUGUUUUGGGAAAACUUCCUUACUUAGAUUGCCGAGUGACUUUUGCACAGAAGAAAGAAAUUAGUUCAAUGGAUGAAAGUGAGACGCUGAACCAGAUUUUAGAUUUUAGAGGCCAAUCCUUUGCAUGUCUUAUUUCUUUGCAAACUACAACCUUUUUGUUACCCUUGAGGACUAUCAUAACAUCAGAGCUGCUAUUCUUCAUACAAUAUUUAAUUCAUUUGAACAUAACAUGUUUUUAAAAAAAUAUUUACUAUGUGCAAGUCAUGGAAAUGCUCCUAAAGUUGAGGGAAUUCUCCUCAGCAAAAGAAAUGGAAUAUCCUGUUUAGAGACUGAGUGCAUGGCUUCCAAAGGCAAAGGCAAGGGCAAAACUUGCUAAUUUUAGAUGUUCAGGGAUGAAAUGUCUACUAGAGCUUGUUUCGUCUUAGAGAGGCCCAACAGUAACGUACUAGCAAGCUAAUGUUAAAUUUGCCCUCCCCACCUAUUUAUUGCCAGUGUUCCUGGAAACAGAAAAACAAAACAAAGGAGUAAGGGAAAAAUAAAAGCAAAGUCUGUGUGUAACUUGAGUUAGAGAAGUGCAGGAAACAAAUCAAAUAUACUAAGUUAGCAUUGCUCAAAGUCCCAUUCAACUUCAGAAUAGUAUACCUGGUAGAGUUUCACAAACCUUUCUCCUUUCUCGCCUGCUGCUUAUUAAGUUUAAAUGCCAGAAGCAUUCUGAGAGCUCUGAAUGCCCAUAUAAGGCCUAGAGCCAGAGACAUGCCCCAAACCCAUUUCUUUAUACUUUCUGAAUUCCCAAGUAAACGAGAGAUCAGAAAAAGGGACAGUAAAGGAAAGGAGAUAAAGAGGUCGACUCCCCAACAGUGUUUUCUUCCCCUUUGGUGUUUUGCAAAAAGCUGAAGAGAUGCUAUAAUGA